GCGGGGGUGGCGGAAUCGGCAGACGCAUGAGACUUAAAAUCUCAAGCCCCAAAAGGGCGUGAGGGUUCAAGUCCCUUCCCCCGCACCA
rnacentral:tRNA from 1 species